AACGAACGCUGGCGGCAUGCCUAACACAUGCAAGUCGAACGAGACCUUCGGGUCUAGUGGCGCACGGGUGCGUAACGCGUCGGAACCUGCCCUUAGGUUCGGAAUAACUCCCCGAAAGGGGUGCUAAUACCGGAUAAUGUCUUCGGACCAAAGAUUUAUCGCCUUUGGAUGGGCCCGCGUUGGAUUAGCUGGUUGUUAGGGUAAAAGCCUACCACGGCGACGAUCCAUAGCUGGUCUGAGAGGAUGAUCAGCCACACUGGGACUGAGACACGGCCCAGAAUCUUACGGGAGGCAGCAGUGGGGAACAUUGGACCAUGGGCGAAAGCAUGAACCACUAAGGACGGGAGAGUGAUGAAGGUCUUAGGGUUGUAAAGCUCUUUUAACCGGGAUGAUAAUGACAGUACCGGGAGAAUAAGCUACGGCUAACUCCGUG
rnacentral:rRNA from 1 species